rnacentral:rRNA from 1 species
CCUACGGGUGGCAGCAGUGAGGAAUAUUGGUCAAUGGGCGAGAGCCUGAACCAGCCAAGUCGCGUGAGGGAGUACUGCCCUAUGGGUUGUAAACCUCUUUUGUCGGGGAGCAAAAGCCGGACGUGUCCGGCUGUGAGAGUACCCGAAGAAAAAGCAUCGGCUAACUCCGUGCCAGCAGCCGCGGUAAUACGGAGGAUGCGAGCGUUAUCCGGAUUUAUUGGGUUUAAAGGGUGCGCAGGCGGAUUUUUAAGUCAGAGGUAAAAUCGUGGGGCUCAACCCCAUCCAGCCGUUGAAACUGGGGAUCUAGAGUGUGCGAGAGGUAUGCGGAAUGCGUGGUGUAGCGGUGAAAUGCAUAGAUAUCACGCAGAACCCCGAUUGCGAAGGCAGCAUACCGGUGCACAACUGACGCUCAGGCACGAAAGCGUGGGUAUCGAACAGGAUUAGAUACCCGGGUAGUC